AUGAAGAAGGUGGCGCAGGCCGCGUCAAGCCGUUGCGGCUGCGGGUCCUCCAGAUCUAAACCGGAGCUGUUACCGCCCGCCUCUGACGACGGCGAGGCACUCCAUGACGCAAUUCGCCGCUCCUACACGUCAGCAGAGACGAAUGACCGCCCUGCGCCUACCGCCCAGAGCUCGCAGCUGCAGAAGCUGGCCUCCGUGUUGCAGUGCGGCGCCGUCUGGGCAGCAGUCCAGGCCCCCGCUGCUCUGGCGACGGUGAGCGGGGAGGAGGACCUCGACCUCCUGGGGAUCCUGCCGCCGGUGGCCGCGAUCGCCUUCGUCUACCUCUUCGUUGCUCCCCCGAUUAUCAUGAACUGGAUGAGGCUGAGGUGGUUCAAGCGCAAGUUCGUCGAGACGUACCUGCAGUUCAUGUUCACUUACCUCUUCUUCCCCGGGUUGAUGCUGUGGGCACCGUUCGUCAACUUCAGAAAGUUCCCAAGGGAUAAAACCAUGAAGUAUCCUUGGUCAAAACCCAAGGAAGGCACCCCGCUGUUCAAGGACAGAUACCCACAAAUUGACUCCUUCAGAGAGAAGUACUACUAG
rnacentral:rRNA from 1 species